CCCUUAGAUGUCCUGGGCCGCACGCGCGCUACACUGAUGCAUUCAACGAGUUUUACCUUGGCCGAGAGGCCUGGGCAAUCUUUUAAACCUUCAUCGUGAUAGGGAUAGAUUAUUGCAAUUAUUAAUCUUGAACGAGGAAUUCCUAGUAAACGCAAAUCAUCAAUUUGCAUUGAUUACGUCCCUGCCCUUUGUACACACCGCCCGUCGCACCUACCGAUUGAAUGGUCCGGUGAAGCCUCGGGAUUGUGGCCAGUUCACUUUAUUGGGAGUUGGCUGUGGGAACUUGUCUAAACCUUAUCAUUUAGAGGAAGGUGAAGUCGUAACA
rnacentral:rRNA from 1 species